rnacentral:rRNA from 1 species
GAUCUCAAAUCAGGUAGGACUACCCGCUGAACUUAAGCAUAUCAAUAAGCGGAGGAAAAGAAACUAACAAGGAUUCCCCUAGUAACUGCGAGUGAAGCGGGAAAAGCUCAAAUUUAAAAUCUGACGGUCUUUUGGUCGUCCGAGUUGUAAUCUAGAGAAGUGUUAUCCGCGUUGGACCGUGUACAAGUCUCCUGGAAUGGAGCGUCAUAGAGGGUGAGAAUCCCGUCUUUGACACGGACUACCAGUGCUUUGUGAUGCGCUCUCAAAGAGUCGAGUUGUUUGGGAAUGCAGCUCAAAAUGGGUGGUAAAUUCCAUCUAAAGCUAAAUAUUGGCGAGAGACCGAUAGCGAACAAGCACCGUGAGGGAAAGAUGAAAAGAACUUUGGAAAGAGAGUUAAACAGUACGUGAAAUUGCUGAAAGGGAAACGCUUGAAGUCAG